rnacentral:rRNA from 1 species
ACUCCUACGGGAGGCAGCAGUAGGGAAUCUUCCACAAUGGGCGCAAGCCCGAUGGAGCAACACCGCGUGAGUGAAGAAGGGUUUCGGCUCGUAAAGCUCUGUUGUUAAAGAAGAACACGUAUGAGAGUAACUGUUCAUACGUUGACGGUAUUUAACCAGAAAGUCACGGCUAACUACGUGCCAGCAGCCGCGGUAAUACGUAGGUGGCAAGCGUUAUCCGGAUUUAUUGGGGCGUAAAGAGAGUGCAGGCGGUUUUCUAAGUCUGAUGUGAAAGCCUUCGGCUUAACCGGAGAAGUGCAUCGGAAACUGGAUAACUUGAGUGCAGAAGAGGGUAGUGGAACUCCAUGUGUAGCGGUGGAAUGCGUAGAUAUAUGGAAGAACACCAGUGGCGAAGGCGGCUACCUGGUCUGCAACUGACGCUGAGACUCGAAAGCAUGGGUAGCGAACAGGAUUAGAUACCCUGGUAGGAUAGCG